rnacentral:rRNA from 1 species
UAUUGGACAAUGGGCGCAAGCCUGAUCCAGCCAUGCCGCGUGAGUGAUGAAGGCCUUAGGGUUGUAAAGCUCUUUUAUCCGGGACGAUAAUGACGGUACCGGAGGAAUAAGCCCCGGCUAACUUCGUGCCAGCAGCCGCGGUAAUACGAAGGGGGCUAGCGUUGCUCGGAAUCACUGGGCGUAAAGGGCGCGUAGGCGGUCUUUUAAGUCGGGGGUGAAAGCCUGUGGCUCAACCACAGAAUUGCCUUCGAUACUGGGAGACUUGAGUUCGGAAGAGGUUGGUGGAACUGCGAGUGUAGAGGUGAAAUUCGUAGAUAUUCGCAAGAACACCGGUGGCGAAGGCGGCCAACUGGUCCGACACUGACGCUGAGGCGCGAAAGCGUGGGGAGCAAACAG